GACGAACGCUGGCGGCGUGCCUAAUACAUGCAAGUCGAACGCAGUGGGGACGGGUGAGUAACACGUGGGUAACCUCCCAUCAGAGGGGAUAACACUUGGAAACAGGUGCUAAACCGAUACUGAUGGAUGGACCCGCGGUUCAUUAGCUAGUUGGUGAGGUAACGGCUCACCAAGGCCACGCUGCCUAGGCGACCUGAGAGGGUGGUAGGCCAAACUGUGACUGAGUCAAGGCCCAGACUCCUAAGGGAGGAAGUAGUAGGGAAUCUUCGGGAAUGGACGAAAGUCUGAACGAGCAAGGCCGCGUGAGGGAAGAAGGUUUUCGGAUCGUAAAACUCUGUUGUUAGAGAAGCGGUAUCUAACCGGAAAGCCACGGCUAACUACGUGCCAGCAGCCGCGGUAAUUC
rnacentral:rRNA from 1 species